rnacentral:rRNA from 1 species
GAUGAACGCUGGCGGCGUGCCUAAUACAUGCAAGUCGAGCGAACGGACGAGAAGCUUGCUUUUCUGAUGUUAGCGGCGGACGGGUGAGUAACACGUGGAUAACCUACCUAUAAGACUGGGAUAACUUCGGGAAACCGGAGCUAAUACCGGAUAAUAUUUUGCACCGCAUGGUUCAAAAGUGAAAGACGGUCUUGCUGUCACUUAUAGAUGGAUCCGGGCUGGAUUAGCUAGUUGGUAAGGUAAAGGCUUACCAAGGCAACGAUGCAUAGACGAACUGAGAGAGUGAUAGCCCACACUGGAACUUAAACACGGUCCAGACUCCUACGGGAGGCAGCAGUAUGGAAUCUUCCGCAAUGGUCGAAAACAUUACGGAGCAACGCCACGUGAGUUAUGAAGGUCUUCCGAUCGUAAAACUCUGUUAUUAGUUAAGAACAUAUUUGUAAUUAAAUGUGCACAUCUUGACGGUACCUAAUCAGAAAGCCACGGCUAACUACGUG